CUGCAGGGACAGCUACAUCACAGCUCCACCACAGCCUUGGGUCCCCACUCUUCUUUCACAAUUUUUCACCUUCACCAACUGCAUUACUUUAGUCACUUCUGAAGCAACGCUGCAGGCCAGCUAGCACUUUCUCCAGUUCCGUGCCAUCCAACUGGGAUGUCGCAAAUAAACGACUGAGAUCUAAUUACGGAGGCAGAGCACGCCAGGAAAGAAGAUGAGCAACACGGGAAAAGACAGCACUAUCCCAAAGAGGUGCACGAGGGGGAGCUCAGCUGGCCGGGAAUGGGGCAAGUGGAUAUCACAAAGCUGCAGGAAAAGCACAGUGCAUGCAGUUUUGCUAGAUCUUCAGCCGUGAGAAGCCUUCACAAAGAAUGUCUGAAAAUCACUACAACAUCACAUACACCAAUGCUUUGCCUUUAGACUUUAGAGUAAUGAAGAGCGCUGCAGUACAGUAAAUAUCGCGAAUAAACAGAAUACAGUGAGGAAGGAAAGUGGAGCAUAAGGAAGGAUAUACCUGAAUUAAGACUAUUGGCUACCUAUCAUGAAGCAGCACUUUUGUUUAAAAUUCAUGGAGAAGGUUC